UGGGGAAUAUUGGACAAUGGGCGAAAGCCUGAUCCAGCCAUGCCGCGUGAGUGAUGAAGGCCUUAGGGUUGUAAAGCUCUUUCAGUGGGGAAGAUAAUGACGGUACCCACAGAAGAAGCCCCGGCUAACUUCGUGCCAGCAGCCGCGGUAAUACGAAGGGGCGUAGCGUUGUUCGGAUUUACUGGGCGUAAAGCGCACGUAGGCGGAUCGUUAAGUCGGGGUGAAAUCCUGGAGCUCAACUCCAGAACUGCCUUCGAUACUGGCGAUCUAGAGUCCGGAAGAGGUGAGUGGAACUCCUAGUGUAGAGGUGGAAUUCGUAGAUAUUAGGAAGAACACCAGUGGCGAAGGCGGCUUCACUGGUCCGGUACUGACGCUGAGGUGCGAAAGCGUGGGGAGCAAACA
rnacentral:rRNA from 2 species